rnacentral:lncRNA from 1 species
UAAUUUUAAAUUUUAUUUUUCCUGCAGACAAAGUUCAAGCAUCAAGAAUACGAUCUGUGUGUUUAGAAGUUCACAUCUUCAUCUCACACUCAUCCAGCUUACAGUAUCAUGUAUAGUUGUCCGAGUUUAAAUGCUCUUUGCCGACAUAUAAAGGCAAAAAAGAUUAAAUAAAUUCAAAUAAAACUAAUGUUUGAUCAUCCUGUCAAUCACCCCUCGGUCAUUCAAAAAGAAAGCCACAAAUUGGGCGAACGUAAUGGUCAAAAUAAGCUUGUGCACCAGAAAGGCUGACCACCAGUAGUACCACAAUGUCUAAUAGCCAGAAUUCUUAAGACCCGUUGCCAAAAUGUUGCAUGAAAAACUUCGUUUGCACACUAAAGCAGUUAACCAAGAUUACUCAACCACGUAGAUGUAUUUUUUCUAUAUGUUAUCAGACUUUUUCAUCAAGAACAUCGUUGAACGAAAGGUCUAGUGAUGUGCAACAAGAGCAGUCGAGAAAAAAAUCAUACCAGGAAUAACUCAACAAUGGCAGCACUAUGAGUUCUUUUUGCUUUCUGCAUCACGAUUCCUCCAAGGAUUCAGAGCUUCUCUGACAGCCUGAGCUUCCGGCGAAUUCUCCCAAGCCCGCUUCUCUGACUCCAAUUCGGUCACUUUAUC